rnacentral:lncRNA from 10 species
ACAACCCCUAUCACUGAGGGAGUUUUAUAAGUUUCAGCAACCACAUCAGUAAUCUCAUUUUGCAUCCACAAAUUUCUAUUUUGUCCUUGCAGCUCACUUGGACAGGGAAUGUCCCGCAUGUUUGAAAAGAUGGUUCAGAAAGGAGCCUUUGGCAAUCCCCAGGGUUUCUGCACCCAAGAUGGACUGGAGGGAUCAUGACAACCAGUUGCAAUCAAAGAAAAGAGGAAACCAUAUCCGAGAGUGGAAGCUGUUUUCUUGCUUUCAGGGAUCAAAUGUCAUGACCCCCCAACUCAGUCCUAAUGCAUCCUCCACAGACAUACUCUUGAGCUCUCACAAUCCACCCUUCAAGUCAUGAUGGGGCUCAAGACCUUCACUGGGCUUCAUUAUCACAGAGCAAACAGGGUGAAGAGGACUCAUUUAUUGAAGCAACAGAUAUUGGUGACCAAUGAAAUUGAUGACCACCAUGACCUAGGCUGGGCAUUCAGUGGAGAGUAACACAGGCAACUUCCCUGACAUCUGGGGCUUACAGAUAAUGGAGGAAACACAAAAGAAUCAGAUAAACAGAUAGGCCAGACCAGAGAGUGCUAAGCAGACAUUAAAACAAGGAAGUCAACAUCAAAUGCAGAGCCCAGAGAAGCCUUCCUUGGAGAGGUGACACUGAGCUGAGGCCCGACUUGCCCUGGAAAGACCUUGGGACACAUUCCAGGAGGGAGGGUGCUGAGCCCUGGAGAGCUCUGUUUUGGGCAGUCACUCUCAUCAGAGUUUCCAUGAUGACACAAAGGUCACAUGGAUGCCCACAGUCUAAUUUCAAUCAACAAUGAAUCAUGGCCACUCUGGGCACACCAGCACCCCACUCCCCAAACCUCCACCACACCCACCACACCUACAAGGGCCGUUUGUUUGACCAACAGAGAAAAGAUUAUUCCAAAAUACACUUGGUAAAAACAUCCAUGGGGAGGGUGAAGUUUCUGGUUUCCCCUUUAAAGAGCUAUCAUCUUUGGAUGUUCAGAGCUUCUCACAUGAUAGCACCUCCUGUAAGGGUUUUGCCCCUGUAGUUAAUGUUCAGAAAGUGUGUAUUUCCCUUUUGAGAAUUCUGUAUGAAAGGGACACUGAUAAGGGAAAUGGAGGCCUUAUUGCUAAGAAGCUAGUCAGCAUUUGCAAGAGGAAGGGGAACUAGCAUUGACUGCACACUUCCAUGCACCAGCGUUGAGCUGGAUGCCUUACCUGGUUUAUCUCCUUCAAUCCCAGGAAGAAGUUUGAAAUUAUUUGCAAAUAAAAAUGUUUAAAAGAGAAGGAGAAAGAGAGAGAAUUGCCAGCUGUUGUAUAAUGAGCUUGUGGAUAUUUCCUGAGUCCUACUUCAAGGCCUUUUCAGAUUGCAGCCUCUAAAUGCCAUUAACCACUAAAAUGAACCAAGGCUGCCUGGGAAAAAUAGCGAAUUCCAGGUCUAGAGCAGGAAAUGUGCCAUCUUGUCACGCCAGACAGCAAAGGAACCAUCAAGGCCACCGGGUCUGUGACAAAAGGACUCAGAAGACAGCCUGGAGAGACUCCUACUGACCAAAAAUAGGACAAUGUGAGCCUUAAUAAAGAUAAUAAUUGCAAAGAAUUGAAAAAUAACAACUAUGCUCAAAUCCAUGAGUAUAAAUGAUAGUAAAAUAAAGGGAAAAAUCAAGCAUUUAUUCUGCUCUUUCCAUAUAAACUGCUCCUCUGCAUAAUCAAACAGUUAAAUAGGAGAUGUUGCUUUGUAUGAGAGGAUUCCAGCUAAUAAAUGCAGAGGGAAUAGUAGAAUAUCACCAUCUUGUACACAGCUAAUGAAUUAAUGGAUCGAGUCAAUGAUCAUCUAUGUCUGUUCAUGUCACCAUAGAGAGACAGUUGGUGCCUAUGAAGUAGACUUUCUCUUCAAAAGAACAAAAUACAGACUCUUGUCAAGCUUCUAGAUCUAAUUGUCAAAUUACAGAAAAUGCAAGAAACAAAGGAUUAUGUCAAACACCACCACACAGAUACAGGGAGAAAAAUUAGGAAUCUGUGGCCAGGCAUGGUACACACACCUGUAGACCCAGUUACUCAGGAGACUGAGGUGGGAGGAUUGCUUGAGCCCAGGAAUUUGAGGUUGCGAUGAACCGUGGUACUGCACUCCAGCUUGGGUAGCAGAGUGAGACCCUGUCGCAAAAAAAAAAAAAAAAAAAAAAAAAAAAGAAUCUAUAAGACAUUUGUCUAGUACAAGACAUUUGUCUAGUACAAGACAUUUGACUCAGUUUCUUCAAUUACAAAAAAUUGAAAGAGAAAAAGAAAGGAAGAAAUUUAUAGAUUAAAAGAGAUAAAAAUAUAUCAAACAUUCAAAAUAUAUGUACCUUAUUUGGAUACCAGUUGAAGCAAUCUGGUUUUUGUUUUUUUGAGAAAAAAGACAGGGAAAUUUGAAUGCUGACUGGAUAUUUAAUAUUAAAGAAAUUACUCUUUAUUUUUUAAAGUGAAAAUGGUAUUGGUUUUUAAAUUUUUAAUUCAGGUGAAAUUCACAAAACUUAAAAUUAACCAUUUAAAAAUAAACAAUUCUGUGGCAUUUAGUACAUUCAAAAUGGCAUGCAACCACCACCUCUAUCUAGUUUUAAAACAUUUUCAUCACCUUAAAAGAAAACCUUAAAGUGCAAUGUACACUACUUGGGCAACAGGUGCAUUAAAAGCUCAGAAUUUACCACUAUAUAAUUAAUCCAUGUCACAAAGAAAAUGCUUGUACCCCAAAAGCUAUUGAAUUUUUUUAAAAAAGAAAACCCCACACCCUUUAAGCAGUUGAUCCCUAUUCCCCUCCCUACUUCCCCUGGCAAGCGCCAAUCUGCAUUCCAUCUCUAUGGAUUUACCUAUUUUGAAUAUUUCAUCUGUGUGGAUCAUACAACAUAUGACCUUUGUGCCUGGUUUCUUUCACUUAGCAUGUGUAUGAGAUUUAUCCAUGUUGUAGCAUGUAUCAGUACUUCACUUUUCUUCAUGACUGAACAUUCCAUUGUAUGUGUGUGCCACAAUUAGUUUAUCCGUUCAUUUGUUGAUGGACAUAUGGCUUGCUCCAAUCUUUUAGCUAUUGUGAAUAAUGCUGUUAUGAAUAUGAGUAUGUGUGUAUAUGUACUUGAGUACCUAUUUUCCAUUGUUUCGGAUAUAUACCUGGAUGUAGAAUUGCUCAGUAAUUCUACAUUUAACUAAGAAACCACCAAACUGCUUUCAUCCGCAGCUGUUCCAUUUUCCAUUCCCAUCAGCAGUGUACAAAGAUUUUCAUUUUUCUUAUUGUAACCAUCCUGGAGUGUGUGAGGUGGUACCUCAUUGUGGUUUUGAUUUGCAUUUCCCUAAUGACUAAUGAUGUUGAGCAUCUUUUCAUGUAUUUGUUGGCCAUUUUUGUAUCUUCUUUGGAUAAAUGUUUAUUCAAGUCCUUUGCCCAUUCUUAAAAUUGGAUUGUUUGUCUUUUUAUUAUUGAAUUGCAAGAGUUCUUUAUGUAUUCUACAUGCAAGACUCAUUAGAUAUAGGAUUUGCCAAUAUUGUCUCCCAUUCUAUAAGUUGUCUUUUCACAUUCUUGAAGAUAUUUGAUGCACAAACAUUUUUAAUUUCUCAAUUUAUUUAUUUUCCUUUUUGCUCAUACUUUUGAUGUCAUAUCUAUAAGUCAUUGCCAAAGCCAAGGUCAUGGAGAUUUGCCCAUAUGUUUUCUUCCAUUUAAUAGUAUUAGCUCUUAUUUUUGUGUCAUUAAUCCAUUUUGAGUUAAUUUUUUUGUAUAUGGUGUGAGGUUGGGGUCCAAUUUUAUUAUUUUGCAAGUGAAUUAUUUAAUUUUCAGAGUCUUUAUAUUCUAAGGAAACAUAAGGAUAUUUACAAACUGAAAUGUCUAGAAUUUGUUUCAAAAUAAUCUAUGAAAGAGAAGAAUUGAAUAUAGAUAAAAUAGAAUUGCCCAUAAAGUGAUCAUUGUUGAAGUCAGAUAAUGAGUAGAUGGAGGAUCAUUUCAGUAGUCUGUAUAGCUCUCUAUACAUUUAAAAUUUUUCCUAUUAAUGAUAAUAAUAAGAGCUUUAUAAAUAAGAGCUUUAUAUUUUAGAGAGAUUAAUUGAAAUAUUUACAGAUGAAAAUAUAUAAUGUCUGAAAUUUGUUUCAAAAUAAUUUUGUUGAGGGAAUUGGGGAAGGUAUAAAUGAAAGAAGAUUGGUAAUGAGUUGAUAGUUAUUGAAGCUAUACGAUGGUAUAUGUAGGUCAUCAUACUGAUCUUUCUAAUUUGAGUAUAUUUGAAAGUUUUUGAUAAUAAAGCUUUUUAAAUGUAAUACAUAAUUAACUGCUAAGAUUUUAUUUGGUAAGAAUGAGAAUCUUUCCAAAUGAAAGCAAGAGGAGACAAGCUACAGAACAGUAUUGGCAGCUGAUGUUUAUUGUUCUCAAUAGCCAACCAACAUCACCACUGAAUAAAAGGAAUACGGUAGGUGAGCAUGUUUGAGGAAUUCUUCUGGAAGAGGAAAGCAGGUGACAUUUGAAUGGGCCUUGAAGGAUGAGCAUACGUUUUUGUCAAGAUAGGAGAGGAAGGGUGGUUUAGUUACAGGUUGUGGAGAGGUGAAAAGGUUACAAUAUUUGAGAGGAAUGAGAAGCUGAGUGUAAGAGGAGUCCAGGCAAUUAGGCAAUGAAAAUUAGAGGUAGUCUUUGAUUCUCAUGCUAAGGAUGGAUUUUCAAGUAAGCCAGAAUUACAAGAAAAUUGAUGGUCCAUAGGCUGAUGUAGUCUUUGGCCUGUUAGUGUGUGUGUUUUAAUUGACCCAACACUAAAAGAAAAAAAAAUGCAGGAGACUUUACUUUGAAAUCUGAAUGUCUAAAUUUCUUGAAAAAUUAGAAAAUACAGCAACAUAGAGCCUGCAUCUCCCAUGCAACAGUUGACCCAAGCUGAAAGGUGGUGUCCAUCUUUAAAUGGGCUGGGUCUCCUUUAGUUCAUCCAGCUCUCCCAGCCUCUAUCCCAUGCCCCACAGCAGGUCCAGUAAUGGGGCUAUUAAUCACCAUUGUUUAGCUGGAGGGUUUUUUGUCAUAGUAAAGGAAUGUUUACCUGCAACUCUAUCAACAGUGAGAAAAUGAAAUGUAGACACAGAAGUCUGAGUGUCUCAAUAAAAUAUUUGAGAGAGCACAUUCCUCUGUGGCAGUAAAGACAGCUCUAUUUCCAUCUGUUUAACAUACAGAGUGUAUCAGUAUGGGACAAAUACAACUUAAGAUGUCAAGGUAACAACGAAAACAGCAAUAAUAAUAAUAACACCAAACUAACUAGUACCUACUGAGCACCUGCAUGCAUAAAAUGCUCUUCUACUGCUUUUCAGGUAUUGCAUCAUUACCUCCUUAUGAAGACACUCUAUCCCCAUUUUACAAAGAAGGGAACUGGCCCAAGGUCAUAUUGUUAUUAUACUCCCAGCCAGGAGGCUAUGAUUCAAGGCAGUCAGACUCCAGAGCUCUAGACCACCAUGCCAAACAAUGACAAGAACAUUAUGACUGAUAAUCCUACAAGGUUUGUUCAUAAAUAGGAGGUAAAAGGCAUUCCACCCAUUGAAGGCAGUGGCAUUGUGUUACUCCUUUUUAUAUUGAAGAUUCCUCCCCAGUAUCUAGCAUAGUGCCUUUUAUAUAGUAGGUAUCCAAUAAAUACACGUUUAAUCAAUUAGUUGACUAGGUGUUGUUAUCUGAUCCCCUUAGAGUUUUCUUUCUUCAGGGUAAACAGCUCUUGAACAUGUAACAUACCUCACUUCUCAGAGCUAACUCCAAGGCACCCAGGGCUAGAACUAGGGGGAGGCAAGAGAGACAUCCAGGUUGCAGCAUGUGAAAAGGAUAGUAGGUCUCAGGUGCCCAACCUGCACUUGCAGGAUCCCAAGAGUGAGGUCCUUCUUAUAUUUUGCACCCUGGGUACCUCUCUUGCUUUACCCUAAUCCCUGCCCAGUAAGGCAUCUCUCUUUUUCAUCUUCCUGUACUCGUACUCCAGAUGUGAUCAAACCAGAGUGGACUAUGGGAAGGGCUGCCAUCAUCCAUGCACUGAACACUAUACUCCUGUUAAUUCUGCCUAGGGUUUCACUUCUAGCUUACUAGCAACUCCCCUCUCCACCUUAGGCCUGUCUGUCAAGCUGAUUCCUUAAGACUGGGAGCAGGACUUCAUAUUUAAUCUUUCUCUUGUUUCUUUCAACAAUAACUGAAAUUGAGUAUCAUCUUUUUUAAGGUCCUUAUUGAUUAUUCAGCAUAGUAGUUAUUUUCCUAAUCCUCGUUUUCAUUCAUUUAUUAAUUCAUCAAUGCCCAUUCCCUGAGAACCUGUUCUGAGGCUUAGCGUACAGAAAUGAAUGACUUGGUCUCUGUCCUUGAGGAUCUGUGGCAUGGUCCAGUGUAAGAGACAGGCCAGUAAACAGUUGACAAUUGCACAAGGGACUGAGUGUAGAGAAAAAUGUCUGUACUGAGGGCAUAGAGGGGCACUUAAACUAGACCAGAGGACCAGGGAGGGCUUCUGGAGGAGGUGUCAAGGAUGUUGACAUCAGAGAGGGAUGACCAGAUAUUGUGCAUCAUUAGACUUGAUAAAUGAGCUCCUAUGUCUGUCUCUAAGUUAUUAAUAAUCAUAGGGACAGGGCCAAGGCUAAGCCUUGUAGCAACCAGGAAAACAUUCCCACCUGAGAAAGAAAGUCACCCUGAUGAAGAGCAGAUGUGCUCUAGAAAGCUGCUGCUAGCUUAUAGGGGGUCUUUGUGAAUUUUUUUUUCAUUUUUCUUCAUUUAUUUAGUUGAGCCAUUCAAUUCAUACAGAUUGGAAAACAAUUUCCACAGGAAGAUCAACUGCUAUUUUUUUUAUUAUACUUUAAGUUUUAGGGUAUAUGUGCA